GGUGUUCCUAGGUUUGGAAAUAUAAAUCCCAUGGGAAGUCAGCUGAAGACCAUUUUAUGCAUCACUCAUCCUGUUAGAGCCCUGUGCUGUUCUGUCUCUCUAUAAGG
ensembl:misc_RNA